AUGAACAAGUCUUCAUCCGAAUGUAGGUCCAAGAGAUAAGAUAGAGGAUACAGAGAGUUGAAGAUUAAUCCUUAUUCUCUCAAUGGGCUAUAGGGAAAAAAAAAAAAAAAACUGACCAAUCUGGGGAACUGAAUUCUAAUUCCCACCCUAUAGCUUGACUUGACUGAAGUCUUGAAAGCAAGUGGCUGACACCUCUGCAUCCUAGAUGCUUCGUACUCAUGGUGACAAGGCCAAAUAUUUGUUUGGGGGAGGAAAAACAGUCUGUCAAAACUCUGUGGGAAAAUUCACCCCAUCUUAUUUAACUUUCGCAACCUACUGUAUAUAUUUGAAGACAAUCCGCAUAAAACUGUGUCUGAGCUGCCCCUAGGGUUUCUGUAGCAGAAUGGAGUCAUGGGUAAGACUCUUCUAAAAAUACCUAUGUUGGGAAUUCCCAAUGUGGCACAGGGGAAAUGAAUCCAACUAGUAUCCAUGAGGAUGUGGGUUCAACCCCUGGCCUUGCUCAGUGGGUGGGGGAUCUGGUGUUGCCAUGAGCUCCACAACGGGAACUCCCAUUCCUUCUUUUCAAUCUUUGUUGUCACCCCUUCCUUGUCCAAGGUUCCUACUGUGUGUCUUCCCUCCUUCCCUGAAGAAUACAUCUUCAGCUUUCUAAUCAUCUCUCUGAAUUCUAUUUCAGGUUUCAGACGUCAUGAUUCUCAUAUUCUAAGUAUCUAUUCCUGCUGUUCCAUUCAAGCCACAGGAUAUUUCAAGCCGUUUAUCACAAGAUAAAAAGGCUGAUGCCUAAAAAUAAAAAAUAACUAAAACUAAAUUCAUUACCUUUCCACAAAGCAAAUUUCCUUCCCCCCUAAGCUGCCUGCAGUCGCCAUUGCUAUUUUAAGCUGACCAAUUUAGAAUGGUCAUUAUCUUUUACUCCCUCCUACUGUAAUCCCUGUAUUUAAUUGGUUACCAAGUCCAAACUUCCUGGUUUGCAGUGCGUCACAUUUGUUCCUUUACUUUCUAUCUCCACCAUUCUCACUGGAGUCCAGCCCUGGCUGCUUUACACCCUUCAUGAUCUGCUAUUCUUCUCCAAGACCAGUCCCUACUGCCAUAUUCAAUCCCAGACUCCUCCACCCUGCUUCUCAGAAUCUCUACAAUCCUUUUUUUUUAAUAAAGCAAUAGAAAUGAUUUGAUCUCAUUUAUUUAGAGAUAUAUGUCCAAGUGCAUGUUUGUUUUUGAAAUAAAAAAAAAAAUAGGAGUUCCUGUUGUGGCGCACUGGAAACUUGAAUCCGACUAGGAACCAUGAGGUUGAGGGUUUGAUCCCUGGCCUUGCUCAGUGCGUUAAGGAUCCAG
rnacentral:lncRNA from 1 species